rnacentral:rRNA from 1 species
CACGUAGGGGGCAAGCGUUGUCCGGAUUUAUUGGGCGUAAAGGGCGCGUAGGCGGCCCGUCAAGUCCCGUGUGAAAGCCCCCGGCUCAACCGGGGAACGGCGCGGGAAACUAGCAGGCUUGAGUUCGGGAGAGGGAAGCGGAAUUCCGGGUGUAGCGGUGGAAAUGCGCAGAUAUCCGGAGGAACACCGGGUGGCGAAGGCGGCUUCCUGGACCGACACUGACGCUGAGGCGCGAAAGCUAGGGGAGCAAACGGG